UACGUAGGCAGCAAGCGUUGUUCGGAGUUACUGGGCGUAAAGGGUGCUUAGGCGGCCUUAUCAGUAUGGUGUGAAAUCUCCCGGCUUAACUGGGAGGGUGCGCUAUAGACUGUGGGGCUAGAGUGUGGGAGAGGAAAGUGGAAUUCCUGGUGUAGCGGUGAAAUGCGUAGAUAUCAGGAGGAACACCGGUGGUGUAAACGGCUUUCUGGACCAUAACUGACGCUGAGGCACGAAAGCGUGGGUAGCAAACAGG
rnacentral:rRNA from 1 species